rnacentral:rRNA from 1 species
GCAUAUUAGUAGGCGGUGGAAGAUAAUCCAAAAGGGAUUCCUUCAGUAAUGGCGAAUGAACGGGGAAAAGCUCAGCAAAGAAAUCGAGGACUCCGGCCUUGAGUUGUGGACUUGAGAGGUAUCGCCAAUGGUGGCACAGGUGGGGGCCUCUUGGAAAAGGGCACCACAGAGGGUGUGAGUCCUGUUUGCCAUCUGUAGUCCGCCGUGUACGGCAUGCCUCCUCAGAGUCACGUUCCUUGGAAUUGGAGCGCGAAGGUGGUGGUGGCUUUCAUCUCAAGCUAAGUAUGGGUUCGAGACCGAUAGCAAACAAGUACCAUGAGGGAAAAUUGAAAAGAGCUUUGGAAAGAGAGUUAAAAGUGCCCGAACUUGCUGAUAGGGAAGCGAAGGGAGCUGACGUUGCUUGGUAACAUCUUCUGCGCAAGACUAGGAUGGGUUCUGAUUGCAAUGUGUGUAGUGUUUCUUGCCGUGCGUGUCGAUGCCAAGCAAUGAGUGGAGAGAGCUCCAGGGAUAUGAUUGUUUCUGUCCCCGGGUAGACGAAGGUGCCUGGUUGCAUCCAUUCGUGGGCUGAAAAAUUGGUGGCUGGUUGCAGCAUUCCCUUGCCAACUAAUGCAAUUGGAGUGUAGCCCUGACAUGCAGACGAGGACAAAGUGCUUCUGUUCGACCCGUCUUGA